GAACGCUCACCGGGGUUUCGGCUCUGGCGGGAGUGGCGCACGGGUGAGUAGCGCGUGGGAACCUGCCCUUUUGUGGGGGAUAACCGAGGGAAACUUCGGCUAAUACCGCAUGCGCCCCUGGGGUGACCUGGGGGGAAAGAUUGAUCGCAGAAGGAGGGGCCCGCGUCGGAUUAGGUAGUUGGUGGGGUAACGGCCUACCAAGCCGAUGAUCCGUAGCUGGUCUGAGAGGAUGAUCAGCCACACUGGGACUGAGACACGGCCCAGACUCCUACGGGAGGCAGCAGUGGGGAAUAUUGGACAAUGGGCGCAAGCCUGAUCCAGCAAUGCCGCGUGAGUGAUGAAGGCCUUCGGGUUGUAAAGCUCUUUCGGCGGGGACGAUGAUGACGGUACCCGCAGAAGAAGCCCCGGCUAACUUCGUG
rnacentral:rRNA from 1 species